rnacentral:sRNA from 1 species
CGACAUCGAGCAGUUCUUCAACAUCGGGGACAGUAGCUCUGGGCUCAUCCAGACCGCAUUUCUGGCUGCUCCUCCUGACCCGGGGCCUGGUGGGGGUCGGGGAGGCCAGUUAUUCCACCAUCGCGCCCACUCUCAUUGCCGACCUCUUUGUGGCCGACCAGCGGAGCCGGAUGCUCAGCAUCUUCUACUUUGCCAUUCCGGUGGGCAGUGGUCUGGGCUACAUUGCAGGCUCCAAAGUGAAGGAUAUGGCUGGAGACUGGCACUGGGCUCUGAGGGUGACACCGGGUCUAGGAGUGGUGGCCGUUCUGCUGCUGUUCCUGGUAGUGCGGGAGCCGCCAAGGGGAGCCGUGGAGCGCCACUCAGAUUUGCCACCCCUGAACCCCACCUCGUGGUGGGCAGAUCUGAGGGCUCUGGCAAGAAAUCUCAUCUUUGGACUCAUCA